GGUACUAUGGCUUAGAUGGCAAAGCGCCUGCCUUGUAAGCAGGAGAUCACGAGUUCGAGUCUCGUUGGGACCU
rnacentral:tRNA from 1 species